rnacentral:rRNA from 7 species
AACUGCGGAAGGAUCAUUA